rnacentral:rRNA from 1 species
GACGAACGCUGGCGGCACGCUUAACACAUGCAAGUCGAACGCUCUCGACCUUCGGGUCAUAUGGGAGAGUGGCGAACGGGUGAGUAACACGUGAGAAACCUGCCCUAAAGAUCGGGACAACCACUGGAAACGGUGGCUAAUACCGAAUAUCUUCCCUUGGCCGCAUGGUCAGUUGAAGAAAUGCUCCGGCGCUUUAGGAGGGUCUCGCGGCCUAUCAGCUAGUUGGUGAGGUAAUGGCUCACCAAGGCAUCGACGGGUAGCUGGUCUGAGAGGACGAUCAGCCACACUGGGACUGAGACACGGCCCAG